ensembl:ribozyme RNaseP_nuc Nuclear RNase P
UCCGGGGGAAGCUCAUCGACGAGGCCACGCACUGGGUGCGCGUCACCCCGGCCCCGCCUCGGGGAAGGUCUGAGAGAAGGGCAGCCCGCGGCUCCAGCAGAGCCCCGCCCGCGACGGGCGGGUGAGCCACCAGAAAGGGGGGGCGCCGUGGAGGGCCGGCCUGGGCAGGAGAAACCGAGCUGGGUUCUGUGGCAACGGAGCCCCCGGUGGAUGCUCGUGGCCCCGCGGUGCUUUGAGACAGACUCACGGCCGGCGAUUGUUGAGUCCAAUGGGUGAGGUGGGGCGCCGUCCUACAACCCAAUUCAGACUACUCUCCCCCGGA